AGCGAACGCUGGCGGCAGGCCUAAUACAUGCAAGUCGAGCGGCCACUUCGGUGGCAGCGGCGGACGGGUGAGUAACGCGUGGGAAUAUGCCCUUUGGUACGGAACAACUGAGGGAAACUUCAGCUAAUACCGUAUGUGCCCUUCGGGGGGAAAGAUUUAUCGCCAUUGGAGUAGCCCGCGUUGGAUUAGGGUAGUUGGUG
rnacentral:rRNA from 1 species